rnacentral:tRNA from 1 species
GCUGGGGUGAUGGAAUUGGUAUACAUGUACGCUUGAGGUGCGUAUGCCGCAAGGCUUGAGGGUUCGAGUCCCUUCUCCAGCA